AACCCAGUGCAAUUCGUUGCACUAUCGUUAACUGAAUACAUAGGUUAACGAGGCGAACCGGGGGAACUGAAACAUCUAAGUACCCCGAGGAAAAGAAAUCAACCGAGAUUCCCCCAGUAGCGGCGAGCGAACGGGGAGCAGCCCAGAGUCUGAAUCAGCUUGUGUGUUAGUGGAACGGUCUGGAAAGUCCGACGGUACAGGGUGAUAGUC
rnacentral:rRNA from 2 species